AAAACCCACACUGCAGCUGGCCCGGGGGCAGAAAUAUGUACAGGGGACAUGGAGCUUCUCAGACAUCGUGAUCUCCUUUCAGGUUUUCCCAUUUAUUGCUAUCAGAGGGAGUGGACCCAGGUUUCUGUCACUGGCUGUAAUAUGUGCCAUAAUGUGGGGCUCUGCACGGCAGCAGAAACAAAUCCAUGAUGACACUGGUGUCUGAAGGAAGGACUUGGACAUGCAGAUGAACUCCAUCCACAGGGAGCCUCACCAGUUAGCGUAUAGCAAAGCCUCCAGCAGAGUGGGAAGGAAAAGGACAGAAAGGAGGGGGAUCCUUGCUUCAGGCCACUUGACCCCAGCUGGGCACUUUGGGUGUGCACUGCAGUGCCUGCACCAGAAGAAAACAGCAGAACACGAGGAGUGGCAGCAGGAGUGGGUGAAUACUUCAUCCCUGAGGCACUUUGCUUGGAGCUCACAAUUAUUGAACAUGGGAAUUCAAAGCUGUCUGUGCUGGUUGCCAGCGCUGUGCUCCCUCAGUGUACAGAAGGGUUUGUUUUCAGUCAAAAACCAUCACUGUGAGUUUCUCAAAACAUUAAGAUAAUCUCUAAUUAAUAAGCAUCGCCUCAUUUAAUUAGUAAAAGAAGCUAUCUUUUCUU